GACGAACGCUGGCGGCGUGCUCAACACAUGCAAGUCGAACGAUGAUGCCCUGCUUGCAGGGUGGAUUAGUGGCGAACGGGUGAGUAACACGUGGGUGAUCUGCCUCGUACUUCGGGAUAAGCCUGGGAAACUGGGUCUAAUACCGGAUAGGACCUUCCUUUAGUGUGGAAGGUGGAAAGUUUUUUCGGUACGAGAUGAGCCCGCGGCCUAUCAGCUUGUUGGUGGGGUAAUGGCCUACCAAGGCGACGACGGGUAGCCGGCCUGAGAGGGUGUACGGCCACAUUGGGACUGAGACACGGCCCAAACUCCUACGGGAGGCAGCAGUGGGGAAUCUUGCACAAUGGGCGAAAGCCUGAUGCAGCGACGCCGCGUGGGGGAUGACGGCCUUCGGGUUGUAAACCCCUUUCGCUAGGGAAGAAGCCACUUUGUGGUGACGGUACCUGGAUAAGAAGCACCGGCUAACUACGUGCCAGCCGCCGCCGUAA
rnacentral:rRNA from 1 species